CGCACGUUGCAACGUAUGUGU
rnacentral:siRNA from 1 species